AGCCAGCAGCCGCGGUAAUACGUAGGGGGCGAGCGUUGUCCGGAUUUACUGGGCGUAAAGAGCGCGUAGGCGGCUCUUUAAGUCGGCUGUGAAAGGUCCCGGCUUAACUGGGAUAUGUCGGCCGAAACUGGAGGGCUUGAGGGCGGUAGAGGAAGGUGGAAUUCCGGGUGUAGUGGUGAAAUGCGUAGAGAUCCGGAGGAACACCAGUGGCGAAGGCGGCCUUCUGGGCCGUUCCUGACGCUGAGGCGCGAAAGCGUGGGGAGCGAACUGAAUUAGAUACUCAGGUAGUCCACGCCCUAAACUAUGGACGCUAGGUGUAGGGGGUAUCGACCCCUCCUGUGCCGAAGCUAACGCAUUAAGCGUCCCGCCUGGGGAGUACGGCCGCAAGGCUAAAACUUAAAGGAAUUGGCGGGGGAU
rnacentral:rRNA from 1 species